UUGGAGGUGUAGCUCAGUGGUGAAGCUUGCCUGGCAUGUGGGAGGCCCUGGGUUCAAUCCCCAGUUCUAAG
rnacentral:tRNA from 1 species